UGUAACCCGUAAUUAGUCAAUUAGUCAGACUUUUAUUUUUAUGGGCCCACUUCCUGUCUUGCCCCCAAACUCUUCAACUUAUUUAAAGCCCCGCCUCCAGCGCAGUUUAAAACACCACCUGUUCCACUGUGAUUGUGACUGGCUGUUGGCGUCUUGCUGAUCAUCUCUCCUUGGAAAAUUCACCCAAAUCUCUGAAACUGAUUUGAACUAUUGGUGAGUUUGCUUGUUUGAUAGCAGUAUUGUUCAGCAUGAAAGUUUUGCUCGAUUGCUCAUUGGAGCAUUGUUUUAUUAGAACUGUGGCAGUUGUUACCUGGGCUGUCACCGGGAUUCACAGCUGACCGCAGUCUAGCACUCUCUGCUCAAAGGUCGGGUUUUUUUUGAUGGCUCAGAUUCUCAGAUCCUCUUCUGAGCAAAGGAUGGUGAGCUAAGGACAAGAACUUUGAUCUUUUGAAUUGAUUUAUUUUUGAAUUAAUUUGACCCUCGUUGUGUAUUUGUAAUUGUUUGUUGUUUUUUCCCCCAAUCACCAAUACAAAAACACCAAAACUAAAACGGUGAUUGUGUCUUCAUUCACACCUCAGGCUCCUUCAAGAACCAUCUUCUGAUGCUGCUUUUGUAGCCGCAGUUAGCUGCGUAGCCCAUAACUGUUACACACUAC